GCUGUUGCAAUUUUGUUUUGUGACCGACACUAACGGGUAACGAAGGGAUACUGGAAUUUAUCCUUAAAGAUAAUUCUGUACUUCCUUAAUAAGAAAAUUACUCGUUUUUGCGAUCACAAACCAUAAAAUUGUAAUGA
rnacentral:pre_miRNA from 1 species